AUGGUACUCUACUCUUUCCGUUCAUUUGUUUCCAUCCAUUGAAGUCUCGAAACGCAGCCCUCCCUCACCGAGCCCUCAUCUCUCAUCUAAUCUCUCAUCGAACUCGAAGUCACUCUCACGGUCUCACCUCACCCCAAAUUAGGAUUACCAGAUUGCUGCGGCUACCAGGAUUACCAGGUUUAUGCGCUGCAUGUUUUUUGCAAGUCUCAUCCUCUCCCAAAUGAAAUUGUGGCUCCCCAGAGACAGAGCAUUGUGGAUGGAAUGAGGAUGAUAGCACUCAAACUUGAAUUUGGUGUAUCCCACAAUCAGAUAUUUGAGAGGACCCUAGCAGUGCAUUUUACAGAUCCUUUCCAUGUGAGCAAACGGGUUGCAGAUAAAUGCAAUGAUGGUACUUUGCUUCUCUAGGGUGUUGAUCCAAGUAUUCGAGCUGAAGUGUGGCCGUUUCUUCUUGGAGUUAGGAUGAACGGGUCUAGUAGCCAAUCUAGUGCACAUAUGGUCUCGGUAUUAGGGGCCGAAGAGGCCAACAAUCUUCAUAAAUUUUAGGCUUUGUUUUUUUGCUUUUGGUUUGUAACUUAAUUAUUGAAACUUUGGCUUGGAACUAAUUUUUUUGCUUUUGAGUUUGUUACUUUAUUUAUUUUAAAACCUUGACUUGUAACUAAUAUUUUUGCUUUUCGAUUUGACUUGUUGUACGUCACUAUGGGCUGUUGAAUAUAUUUGGCAAAUUGCUUUAAAAUAGAUUUGUACACAGAUUUGACAUGUGUAGUAGAAAUAAAAUUGUUUUUUGUUGAAUUAGGUUAAGCCCAUAUGGGCUGUUGAAUUGAGUGACUAUACAAUUGGACAUAUUCAUUACUAGGCUGGGUGGACAGAUUUUGGGCAUGGCCCAAUAUUGGCUUUUUGUCCAAAAGCCCAAAACCAUUUCGGGAUUCCCGAUUUGUCCCGAAAUCACGAAACUAUUUUGGGAUUCCCGAAAAUUUGGUUUGGGAUCGGUAUUGAAAUUGAGAUUCCCGAAAAUUUUGGUUUGGGAAUCGGGACAAGGGUUUCGGUAUGGGAUCCCAUACCGAACCACCUCUAAUUAUAUGCAUGACUUGAAUCAAACCCUAAAAACAAGGAACCCUAACCCUAAUGGGUAGGAAGUCCCAACAACUUUAACAUCAUCCAUUAAGCUGAAUGUCAUUGGCAAUCAAUUGAUUCCAGGGUAUUCGCAAACACCCAUUCAACCUCGCAUCUUCGAAAACAUUUCAAGCUACAAUGGUUUUGUCAAGAUAUCUACAAUUUGCUCCUGAGUAGAACACUAUAUUAGCUCCACUACUUCAUCUUGGACAAGAUCACGAAGAAAAUGAAUAUGGACAUCUAUGUGCUUGCUACGGCCAUGCAUCACUGGAUUCUUCGAGAGUUUGAUGGCUGAAGUACACUACCGUAGGAUUGGAUUGCACAUGAUUUAGAAUUUUCAAAAUUCUUCUCUGGCACACAACUUCAUACACACUUGAUGCUGCAACAAUAAACUCUGCUUCUAUGGUGGAAAGAGUAACUAUGGGCUGUUUCUUUGAAGACCAAGACACUGCACCCGAAUUCAUCAUAAAAACAUAACUUGAAGUGCUCUUUUUGUCAUACUGAUAUCCAGAAUAAGCGUUGUCUAUGUAGCCAAAGAGCUCUUCAUCUCCUCAUUUCUUAAAGACACCCCAAAGCUAGUUGUGCUCUUCACAUACCUUAGAACUCUUUUUGCUGCCAUCAAAUGAGUCUAUGUGGGACGUUCCAUGUACAUACUAGUUAAGCUUACAACAAACAUUAAAUCAGGACAUGUGGCAGCUAGAUACAUAAGAUUUCCCACCAUCUACUUGUAAACCUUGUCAUCGACUCCCACUCAUUAUUCAUCCCUUGUAAGCUUAAACCCAAAAACCACUAGAUUGUGCACUGAGUUGCACUAGUCCAUAUUAAAUCUCUCCACAAGUUCUUGAGCGUACUUCUGUUAGCUAAUAAAGAUGUUAUCUAAUAUUUGCAACACUUCAAUGCCAAGGAAAUAUCUCAUUUUCUUGAGAUUAGUCAUAUAAAAUUCAACCAUCGUGGACUUCUUAAAUUGUUCGAACAUAACUUCAUCAUUGCCAGUAAAUAUAAGAUCAUCAACAUAAAGACACUUUCAAUAAUUUACCUCCAUCCGUUGUUUUAAUGAACAGAGUAUGCUCGUAGGACAUUUGUUGAAGCCUUCCUUAACAAAGUAUGACUCUAUACGACUGUACUAGGCUCAGGGAGCCUGUUGAGUUCAUACAAAGCCUUCUUGAGCAAAUAGACCUUGGAUUUAUUCCCCUUUUGUUCAUAACCAGGAGGUUGAUCGACAAACACCUUUUCAUUAAUUUCUCCAUGCAGAAAGGCUGAUUUGACAUCAAGUUGGUAAAUCAACCAACUUUUCUGAGUAGCAAGGGAAAGUACAAUUCGAAUUGUAUCCAAGUGAGCCACUGGUGUGAACACUUCAGCAUAAUCUACCCAUAUUGUUAGAUGUAUCCCUUAGCGAAUAGCCAUGCCUUAUACUUGUCGACUUCCCUAUGCUCAUUGAGUUUUGUUUCAAGACCCACUUCACUUCAAUGGUUUUUGCCCUAAUGGUAGAUUCGUUAGUUCUCACAUCUCAUUCCUCUUUAUAGCUUCAAUUUCUUGAUCCAUAGCUUACCUCCAUUUUUCACAAUAUCCUCAAAUGUCUAGGGAUAACUGUCAGUGAACAAAGCUAGAUGAGCUAUGUUUACACCUUCUUCAUCAAAGAAACCUUGACCAGUUUCAUAAUCUCCCAUCCACACUGGUGGUCUUCGUGUUCGUCCUUUUGUGAGGUGAGUUGUCAUUAUUCAAGGUGUCUUCUUCUUCUAAAAAGUCACUGCUAUCAGUCCUACCGUCCUCCAAUUCUUCAUUAGCUUUAGACUCAUCUCCAUUGCCUUUAUCUUUUAUACUUGCUUAUUCGUUAGUUUCCCAUUCAAGAUCAGCCAAUAUGGCUUGCUUGUGACUGCAUCCAUACUCCAUUUUUUAUCUUCCUUAAAGACCACAUCUCGGUUUACAAUUAUUUUGUGAAAUGGGAUCAAUCUGCCUGUAAGCUUUAGACUCUUCACUUACUCCAAGUAAUAUGCAUUUGAGACUCUUGGCAUCAAGCUCCACUCUCUUGUUGUCAGGUAUAUGAGCAUGGAUAUGCAUCCAAAGAUUCUGAAAUGCUCCACUAAUGGUUUAAGUCCGCUCCAACCUUUUUAGGUAUUUCUCUCUUCACAGCAAGGGUCCGACUUCUAUUCAGCACAUGAACCAUCCAGUUUACAGCUUCAUACCAAUAAGUUUUAGAAAUUUUCUUCUCAGGCGACAUGCUUUGUACCAUAUUCAUAAUGGUUCGAUUUUUCCUCUCGGCAACACCGUUUUGUUAGGGAGUAUAUGUAGUCGUCAAUUGCAUGUGUAUUCCAUUCUUAUUACAGAAGUUUGUGAAUUCUUAUAAUGUGAACUCGCUCUCACGAUCUGUUCUAAAACUCUGUAUGAAUGCUCUAGUUUCAUUCUCGACCCUGGCUUUGUAGGUUUUGAAUGUGGCAAAGGCUUCUGAUUUUUCUACCAAGAAAUAAACCCAAGUUUUUCUACUGAAAUUGUUAAUAAAGGUGAUGAGAUACCUUUUCUUGCUGUUCGAGAUUGGAUUUAUCAAACCAUAUAUAUCAGCAUGCACCAAUUGAAGAAUUUUGAAGGCUCUCUAUAUACUUUCCUUUGGGAAUGGAUCAUGGUGUUGUCUUCCCACCAAACAGUCUUCACAUAUUCUCUAAGUAGCUUUGAACUGAGGUUACCCUUCAAUCAUCUUCUUUUGUUGAAGUACUUUGAGUCCAUUCCAGCUAAAAUGUCCAUAUUGACAGUGCUAAAGCAUGGCUUGAUUUGUGGUCUGUGAGGAGAAAUAUUUUUGCUCUCUUAGUGGACAGCGAGCAAGCACAUCAAGCAAACAUUCUAUUAUAUGUUAUCUCAGGAUGAAAGAUCUUACAUUUUCCAUGUUGAAUAAGCACAACGAGUCUCUUCUCUUGUAGUUGCUCGAUGCUUAACAAGUUGUUCUUCAGUUCUGGUACAAAGAAGACUCAUGUGAUCACAUGUGCAAUCUCAUUCACCUUUAUUUGAACCUUGCCUUUACUUCGUACAAUAAGGCUCGAGUCAUUUCUCAGCUUCACAGACUCUCUGAAAUUUCUAUCAAAUUCAAAAAAUAUGUCUCUUUUGCCACACAUAUGGUUGCUAUACCCAGAAUCAAGGAACCAAAUGUUCUCUACUUCAUCUUUUUUAAAGUCCACAUGGACCAUCAACAACAUCUCUUCUUUUGUUUCUGCGUAGUUUGCCUUUGGAUCCCUUGCUUUCCUUGGACACGUCCACUGAAAAUGCCCUAACUCAUGACAAUUAUAGAUUGUAAUGUAGAUUUCUCAAACUCAAAUCUACCUCUACCUCUUCCUCUUCCUCUUCCUUUUCCUCUUCCUCUU